GCUUUUCUCCCACCGAAACGUCAGCUACGGAAUCAUGAUCUGGUCGCCCCGACUUCCAACCCCAUCUCUUUUUCUCCAAACGACACAAAUCCCAUGGGGCGAUGGACGCAGCUGAGCCCAGCCUCCUCUAGGGUUUGCGCCCACCAUCGGGAUGAGAACUGGCGGCUACGGCGGCGAUGGCGGGGCAAAGGCAGGAUUGCAAGACCAUCGGUUUGGAGGAUGGAUUGUCAGGAUGGAUCAUCAUCGGCAGGUAAGGUGUGGACAUUGAGAUGAUCUGGAUGGAUCAAUCAAAUACAUAUGGAUCAGUCAAUUAUCUGUAUUCUUCCUCCUCCUAUUGGUAUUGGAUUUAUUUUCAUGAUUCAUUGGGUGUCAUUGGCAUCAUCUCCAAUGUCUCCACCGUAAAGAACUCUAUCUCUGCGUGAAGGACAAGUUCCCCUACUAGCACUGAAUACAUCGCCCAUGAGCAGGUGGUCCUCAGAAUCUGCUGCAGCAAUAAGCAAUAAGCAAAGUGCUCGCCGCUUUCUACCAGCAAGCACGAUGCAUCUCAGUCUCAGCCUCUCUCGGGUACAAAGAAGUAAUGCCUUUACUUUUUUGUCGGGUGACCACCAUCACUUGAGUUGUACCCACAUGACCGGUUGCCUCCAGCCAAUCUACAUUCUAUGACGACCAACUACUGCUGGAUUAUUGGGUGUUUAUAGUGUUUUAACUGGUCAUGUCAGUUUUUUUAUCGUUGAUUGGUUAUCUUCAGUGCACUUCUCUUCUAGCAUCAGUUAAGUUUGAGGAGCUUUUCCACUCAUGGUUUACUCUAAUUUGUUCGUUAGUAGCUAUCCUCUCAUGGUUUACUCUGAAUUUUUUGCAAGGUGCUUCAUGGAAGGAUCAUCUAAGCAAACAUUUUGUUCUUUUGUACCAUGGUUUCAAGGUGGAAUUAGAAUAGAAUUUCUGCACAAGCCUCGGAUUCCUUGAUGUUUUGCAGAUAUAUGGAACACAUAUAGAUUCAUGAUGAAGCAUACACAUCGAGAAUUUUCUUUAGGAGAGGAAUGUGUGCUGUCAGAAGUUGUGAUAAUCAAGUGUUAGAGAUGGCAAGAACAUGUGGACCAUUG